ensembl:lncRNA
GCUGAUUCUAGGCCAACCUCUUAGCGAAGCACCUUUCACACACUACCUCUACUUAUCACAACAUCCUAAGACAGGCUUGUUUCAUCAACUCCUGUUUUACACCUGAGAAAACUGAGGCUUGACGGAGACAGAAGAUUUCUCUAUGGUGUUCUGGCUGGUAAAUGCUGGAGCGAGCAUUAGAUCCAGACAGCCAGGUGCCCAGUGUCAUUGAACCCAAGAGUCUUGCUGCUGCCAGGAAGAGCACUUGCUGAGAGGUUGGCUGCAAAUACGAUCUACAGCAUGAAUCCUGAAUCUCAGACCGCUGUUGGAGUCUAUUACCCACUAUAUUAUUUCCCUGGUAUUUGACAAAAGUGAGAAGGGAUGAUGAAAAUUUUGGCAGACUUUAUCAAAGGCUGAUCAAUAUUUUCCAUUUCCCCAUUUAUGUGCCACUGCAAUUCACCAGCCAAGAGGACAAGUUAAGCGGAUACAGCAUGAGAGAGAAAGCCAAACAGACCAAUAAGUCAAGGUAAAAAGAGAAGGAAAAAACUAAUGGGAAGAAGCUGGAGGAAGGAUUAGAAGCAGAACAAGCAGCAGCUCAUAAAGAAGCUUGUGAAUUGACCACGACACAUGCAACGAAGGUGACAGAGUGAGUGAGAAAGUACCCCAUGAACACCCAGCACUUGCCCAGCAUUGUCGGUCUCAGUCUCCAUGUCACCGUCACCAAUUCCUGGUGCCCUGGAAAGCAGAGGCUUCAGGUCCCAGACUUAACACCAAGAGGAGGCCUAGAAGAGAGCUUUGGAACUAUAGCCAAUUUCAACAUCCACUCACUCCCUCUAAGAUCUGUCUUGGUAGGCUGCAGGCUGCUCAUCAGAGCUGAUGUUGACAGCUCAGGCUCUAGGCUCCUGGACACCGCUAAGUUUUGGUGCCUUGCUUCCUGGGUCCCCACUCAUCCCUAAGGACGUGCGAGUUGGCAGUAAUGGAACAAAGCUGUGCAGAUCUAGGGGCAAAGUCAAAUCUUAGCCAGGUGAAUUACCAGCCCCUACCUACCGCCUAGCAUGCUCUGGCAGGUUAGGAUGAGGAGACUGUAUCGCAGUCCAUUGCUAAGUUUCUUCAACUAAAUUAAACAGAGACUGGGGAUGGUACAGAUUUAAGAACAUCAAAACCAAACCAUCACACCAAGGAAGCAGGAAACAGCCAGAAGGCCAGAAUUACAAACGUGGAUGUUAGAAUUCAUCAGAAGCCAAAAGAACAAUAAAGAAUGAGGUCAGGAAUGCUGAAGAUCCAAGUUGGUGUUCCUAGAGAGGAAAGAAUUAGGAGCAGUCACUAAGGAUCUAGCUUCUUACACAGAUGGGAGACUAUGGAGACAGAACUCCAACAAGAAUAGUUCCUGUGUCUCGAAAGGACCUGGCUGCAUCUGCUGAAGUCUCCUACACUUGAUUCUUCCUCAUGAGUUUACUCCAUGGGCCAUUCAAUCUGCUUGUUUUCCCACACAACUGGGUCAGAGUGGAUAUUUACUACAUUUGCUUCUGGAACACCCACAGGCCGCAUCUGGCACAUAGCCCCCAUCGACAUGUAAUAAACUAAUGACCCAAAGCAAGAGGACAGCCUUCUGUGAAGCUCCAGUGGACAUGGCCAUGUGGACAAAGAAGGGCCAUCAGAUGAGUCUUUGGCCUAAUGAGACAUACAUUUGAUGAGGGUCACCUCUAGGAAGGGCAAGGGAAAAUAUGGGACCGGGGCAUCCAAAAGACUUUUAAUUUUAUCUAUGAUGCUUUAUUUUAUUUAAAAAAAUAAAAUUGGGGGUUUAAAAUGUAAUUAUAAAUUUUGUGUGGUGGAAAUAAAUUGUUAUAUAAUGCCCCAUGCUUUUCUAUAUUUUUUUAAUUUAUCAAAAUAAAAAGAAGCAGCAAAAAAAAUGAGGAGAGGAAGGGAGGGAGGACAAAGUGGGUAGAAGAGAGAGGGGAGGACUAGAGGGGAGGACUAGAGGGGAAAACAAGAGGAAGGGGGCAAGCUUGACUGGAGCGAAAGGGAGGAAGGAGGAAGCAUUCAUGUUGAAAGCUUCCAUGAGGCUAUUAGUGAACCCAGUGGCAAACUGAUGUGAAACCCAGCUCCCCAGAC